CACGGGGGUUGCGAUCGUUGUCCGGAAUUACUAGGCGUAAAGGGCAGGCAGGCGGAUCCAUAAGUUUAUCGUUUAAGGCGUCGGCUUAACCGGCGUAGGGCGGUAGAUACUGUGGAUCUGGAAUGCGGUUGGGGAAGACAGAAUUCCUGUUGUAGCGGUGGAAUGCGCAGAGAUCAGGAGGAAUACCGAAGGCGAAGGCAGUCUUCCAAGCCGUUAUUGACGCUCAACUGCGAAGGUGUGGGUAUCAAACAGGAUUAGAUACCCUGGUAGUCCCUGAG
rnacentral:rRNA from 1 species